rnacentral:rRNA from 1 species
UACGUAGGGGGCAAGCGUUGUCCGGAUUUACUGGGUGUAAAGGGCGCGUAGGCGGCUAUAUAAGUCAGUGGUGAAAUCCUGCGGCUUAACUGCAGAACUGCCAUUGAUACUGUAUAGCUUGAGUGCGGAAGAGAGAGACGGAAUUCCAGGUGUAGUGGUGAAAUACGUAGAUAUCUGGAAGAACACCAGUUGCGAAGGCGGUCUCUUGGUCCGUUACUGACGCUGAGGCGCGAAAGCGUGGGUAGCAAACAGG